AUUGAACGCUGGCGGCAUGCUUUACACAUGCAAGUCGAACGGUAACAGCACUUCGGUGGCUGACGAGUGGCGAACGGGUGAGUAAUACAUCGGAACGUGCCUAGUAGUGGGGGAUAACUACUCGAAAGAGUAGCUAAUACCGCAUGAGAUCUAAGGAUGAAAGCAGGGGACCUUCGGGCCUUGCGCUACUAGAGCGGCUGAUGGCAGAUUAGGUAGUUGGUGGGAUAAAAGCUUACCAAGCCGACGAUCUGUAGCUGGUCUGAGAGGACGACCAGCCACACUGGGACUGAGACACGGCCCAGACUCCUACGGGAGGCAGCAGUGGGGAAUUUUGGACAAUGGGCGCAAGCAUGAUCCAGCAAUGCCGCGUGCAGGAUGAAGGCCUUCGGGUUGUAAACUGCUUUUGUACGGAACGAAAAGCCCUCUUCUAAUACAGGAGGGUCAUGACGGUACCGUAAGAAUAAGCACCGGCUAACUACGUG
rnacentral:rRNA from 1 species